rnacentral:misc_RNA from 1 species
AAGUCGUAACAAGGUUUCCGUAGGUGAACCUGCGGAAGGAUCAUUAAAGAGUUGUCCUGCAUCCCCUCUGGGGAUGAGGUCCUACGGGUGAGGCUCGGAAGUUAAAACCCCCGGGUCCCCCGUCUCUUCCACCCUGUUGUUAUAACCCUUCCACGUUGCUUUGGCGGGCCUGGGUACGUCCUUCUGGGCACCCUGCCGGCGUCUGGACUUCGUCCCCGCCGGCGAGCGACCCGCCAGAGACCCUUACCAUUCUGAUUUUUUUCAAUGUCGUCUGAGCAAAAACACAAAAUAAAAUAAAA